UAACGUAGCCUAAAGUAAACUAGACGUCUAAGAGCUGAAUCAGUAACGCAAGUCAUUUUCAGUCUGAUGGUGGUGAAACACGACUCGUCUGGUAGAAACUGUGCAGUUUAUCAUCCGCUCCUCUAGGGGCGCAAGCGGCUUCACGUUCAUAACAACUUCGGAUCCUUGUCAACAACACCUGAUGUCAACUUGACAGUCGCCGCACCACGUUCUGAUCGUUUUACAGUCAUAAAAGUGCAGAUCCUGCAGAUGACAGCUCAGUGACAGACUCAUAAAGUCACUCAACGGCACAUAUUCCAGCCCAUCAGAAAAAUCAACUGACACACAUUGUGAUAAUGAGGGAGCAUCGACAGCGUCACGAGACUCACCUAAUAAGGCAUGUGUUUGGACUGAUAUACUGAUAUGCUCACGCACAGGUGGCAGAAGCAGGUUUCAGCUUCAGUCUGACACUUCGGCUGCUUGACAACAUGACGCUUGAUGAUCCUGCAGAUGAGAUGACAGCUCUUAAUGUCACUUUAACAGCAAAUAUUCCAGCUUAACUGCAAAUAAAAUCGACACACAGAUGGAUACAAUGCGGGAAUCGAGUGUCACGUGACUCACCUAUUGUUUCGUCAGCAGUGGGCGGAACUUACAAGCAGUAAUCCAAUUGGCUGAAAAUGUGAUUAAUAUCUGACAGCCUGUUACCAAUUUGCAAUCCACCUGAGGACCAGCGUGAGCACAAGGAGAAGUCUUCUUUGAAAAUUAGGAUCUCUGGGUCAGAACUGCUGGAGGUCAUGAGGAGGUGGCAGGAGAAGCAGCCACAGCAGUCUCUUGAACUGCUGAACCCUUAUUCCACUGACCUUUUUUCUGGAGUCAAUUGGAGCGCACACCGUUUGCUGCCAUAAUGUGCCUUCGACAAGAACUCUUGGACGUGUCUGAUAACGGUACCAGCUCAUACCCUUUCUCUGGGAUAAAGGUUAUGACAGGCCAUUUCUGUUUGAAUGCAUGUUUGAAAAUGGAGUUAAUUACAAACUGGAGUGAUCAGUUUGUGUGCACAAUAAAAGGCUACAUGUGA